AUAACCCAAAAAUCCAGCCACACAUCAGGGCUGGUAUUCAAAAGGUUACCAGCCCAAAAUCGAUUUAAGCAAACCAAAUAUGAAUUCCUUGGUGU